AACAGGAUUAGAUACCCUGGUAGUCCACGCCGUAAACGAUGUCUACUAGCGGUCGGCGAUCUUGUAUUGUUGGUGGCGCAGCUAACGCGAUAAGUAGACCGCCUGGGGAGUACGGCCGCAAGGUUAAAACUCAAAUGAAUUGACGGGGGCCCGCACAAGCGGUGGAGCAUGUGGUUUAAUUCGAUGCAACGCGAAGAACCUUACCUACUCUUGACAUCCUCGGAACUUGGCAGAGAUGCCUUGGUGCCUUCGGGAGCCGAGUGACAGGUGCUGCAUGGCUGUCGUCAGCUCGUGUCGUGAGGUGUUGGGUUAAGUCCCGUAACGAGCGCAACCCUUGUCCCUAGUUGCCAGCGGGUUAUGCCGGGAACUCUAGGGAGACUGCCGGUGACAAACCGGAGGAAGGUGGGGACGACGUCAAGUCAUCAUGGCCCUUACGAGUAGGGCUACACACGUGCUACAAUGGCCGGUACAGAGGGCAGCGAAGUCGCGAGGCGGAGCAAAUCCCUUAAAACCGGUCGUAGUCCGGAUUGCAGUCUGCAACUCGACUCCAUGAAGUCGGAAUCGCUAGUAAUCGUGAAUCAGAAUGUCACGGUGAAUACGUUCCCGGGCCUUGUACACACCGCCCGUCACACCAUGGGAGUGGGUUGCACCAGAAGUAGCUAGUCUAACCUUCGGGAGGACGGUCACCACGGUGUGAUUCAUGACUGGGGUGAAGUCGUAACAAGGUAACC
rnacentral:rRNA from 1 species